AGUAACAAUCUAGUACGUGUUGAGUUUGUGUCUUUUUCCGGGUGCGCUCUCGUUCACCGGCGGAAUCUGCCUCUCAGUCGGUCGGGGAAUUUCCGAGGUACACUGUCGGAGAAAUAGUGUUAAAGCAAAGGUUACGGGUAGUGUGUACUGACUCGGUGAAGCCGUGCGCGGCGGCGGCGUGCAGCGGGGUCCUCUGGUUGUCAGCGGCUCGGACGGAGACGUGCGCGCCCACGUGGAGCAGCUGGUGCAGCGAGUCAGCGCUGCCCGCCUGCGCAGCCACGAACAGCGCCGUCUGGCCGGCUGAGAUACUCUGAUGAUGGAAGGAACUGAACCUCUAUAAAAUGGCAACUCAUCAAGAGAAGGCAAAAUGUGUAUCCUGGUUUAUUGAGACAAAAUCGGAUGUUGAGAUUCAACGAAGCUUCAGAACGAAGUAUGGAAGAGAUCCACCAUCGCCCCUUCAAUCCGUGCAUGGCAUAAAUAAUUUAUGGAGACAGGGACAGUGAUGGAUAAAGAGAGGGGCGGGCGACCAAGGACAUCCGAGGAAAACAUUCGCUGUUUCACCUACGAAGUCCAUCCGCUCUGCUGCCAGACAGUUGCAACUGUCACGUUCAACUGUGCAUAAGGUUCUCCACAAGAACUUGCGGUUGUACGCUCACAAAGUGCCACUGUUAGAGAUACGUGAGCCAAAUGACAAGCCAAAUCGGACAGAGUUUGCACUCAACAUGCUGGAACUCCUUUCGGAGGAUGAAACAUUUCUCAAGCGAGUUUGUUUCAGUGACGAGGCCACUUUUCAUAUUUAUGGGUCAUUAAACAGACACAAUGCGAGAUUAUGGGGAUCUGAACACCCCCACGUAACUAGGGAACUUCAUCGGGAUAGUCCAAAAGUGAAUGUGUGGUGUGGAAUUAUGUGAAACCGAAUAAUUGGUCCAUUUGCCUUCAGCGAGUCAACAAUUAUUGCAAAUGUUUACCUGGACCUUCUGACCCAAUAUGUAGCACCACAACUGAUUGACCUACAACCAACUAUCAUUUUCCAGCAAGAUGGUGCACCACCACAUUGGGGCUGCUUGUUCGCCGGUUCUUCAAUGAAACAUUUCCAGGCAGAUGGAUUGGGAGGGAUGGGCCAAUUCCUUGGCCACCGCAUUCGCCAGAUAUCACUCCCUUGGACUUUUUUUAUGGGGGUAUGUAAAAGAUAUCUUGUAUCAAACACAGAUACGGGACAUUGCUGACUUGUAGCAAAGUAUUCGUAAUGCCAUUGCCACCAUUGAUGACGCUAUGCUACGGCGAACAUGGCAAGAAAUCGAGUACCGUCUCGAUGUGUUUCGUGCAACUAAAGGCGCUCAUGUAGAGGUCUAUUAAGCACUGUCAAAAACGCUUUUAUAAACACUGAUAAUAAUAAAAGAAAUGUUGUAACAAUUUUUCAGCAACUGCCGUUGGAAAAAAAUUUGAAGUUGUAAAGGGACUUUAUGAACACCCUGUACAUUUUAUUGUGUUGCUACUCGUAAUAGUAUGGAGGUAUAUUGUGUUGCUUCUCGUAAUAGUAUUAAGGUAAUGUGUCUUUUGUACGUGUGGUAGAAGAAGAAUCGAAAUUUCCAUGCUGAGAGGCACAUCAAAAUGUAUUUUGUUCUCGUAUUCCUAACUCACUCAUGUUUCAUUCGAGUGUUUCUGUAGCCUAAUCAAUGAAAACUUAGACAAGUAUCUCAAAAUAUUAAAAACCAGGAAACGAUUUAAUCAGAAACUGCGGUGUAUGAUUGGGAUUUCAGUAAAAGGGAGACGUCAUGUAACAUUUA